rnacentral:rRNA from 1 species
UACGAAGGGUGCAAACGUUGCUCGGAAUUAUUGGGCGUAAAGCGCACGUAGGCGGCUUGGCAAGUCGGAUGUGAAAUCCCUCGGCUCAACCAAGGAAGUGCAUCCGAAACUGCUGAGCUUGAGUACUUAAGAGGAUCGCGGAAUUCCCGGUGUAGAGGUGAAAUUCGUAGAUAUCGGGAGGAACACCAGUGGCGAAGGCGGCGCUCUGGGCUGGAACUGACGCUGAGGAGCGAAAGCGUGGGGAGCGAACAGG